CGAUUUUUUUUUUGUAGCAGAAUGGCGGAGGUUGUUAACUGUGAAUUUCCAGUUUGGGGCCUUUUGCCCAAAAAAGAAACCGGUGUCACCGCAUUUUUAACUAAAUAUCCGGACUAUGAUGGCAGAGGAAUUACGAUAGCCAUUUUUGAUUCAGGUGUUGACCCGGGAGCGCCAGGUUUAAAGGAGACAAGUGAAGGAAAGCCAAAAGUGAUAGAACGUUUUGACUGCAGUGGAGCAGGUGAUGUUGACACGUCUACUGUUGUGAAAGUGAAAGAUGGAGAAAUUCAGGGUCUUUCUGGACGCAAACUGAAGAUUCCUACAAAAUGGAAAAAUCCUACAGGGGAUUUCCACAUUGGUCUUAAAAAUGGUUUUGAUCUCUACCCUGCUAAACUGAGAGAAAGGAUUGAAAAGGAAAGAAAGGAGAAACUAUGGGAUCCUGGUCAUAAGUGCUCCUUAGCAGAAGCCACUAGAAAACUGCAAGAAUUUGAAAUUAAGAACCCUAAAGUGUCAGCUGUGAAUGACAAACUUCAUAAAGAAAACCUAGAAGCCCAGAUUGAGAUCCUGACAUCACUAGACAAGAAUUACAGUGAUGUGGGACCAGCGUAUGAUUGUGUUGUGUUUCAUGAUGGGCAGAUGUGGAGGGCAUGUGUGGAUACCUCCGAGUCUGGUGAUUUGUCCAGUUGUUUCUUGCUUGGGGAGUACAGCUUGACCCAAGAGUUUGCAACCCUCACCAAGUCAGACCAGUUGAACUACAGUAUCAAUGUUCACAAUGAUGGCAACAUCCUUGAAGUUGUUAGCAUGUGCUCAAGUCAUGGUACCCAUGUGGCCUCCAUAGCAGCAGCAUACUUCCCUGACAGUCCUGAGAGGAAUGGAAUGGCUCCUGGUGCACAGAUAAUAUCAUUAACUAUUGGUGAUAAUCGGUUGAGUUCCAUGGAGACUGGUACAGCUCUGGUGCGAGCAAUGAUUAGAGUCAUGCAGCUAUCAAAAACCAGCAAGAUCCAUCUUAUUAACAUGAGCUAUGGGGAACAUGCACACUUCUCUAGUUCUGGCCGGAUUGGGGAGCUGAUGAAUGAGGUGAUCAGCAAAUAUGGUGUGGUGUGGGUUGUUUCGGCAGGAAACCAUGGUCCUGCUCUCUGCACAAUUGGAAGUCCUCCUGAUAUUUGUGCAAACAGUAUGAUAGGUGUAGGGGCAUAUGUGUCGCCAGACAUGAUGGUAGCUGAGUACUCAUUGCGACAGAAGCUUCCGGGUAUGCCAUACACUUGGACAUCAAGGGGCCCCACUAUGGAUGGAGACUAUGGUGUCACUGUAUGUGCCCCUGGAGGUGCCAUCACAUCUGUGCCAAACUUCACCUUACGUAACUGCCAGCUUAUGAAUGGCACUAGUAUGGCAGCACCACAUGUUUGUGGAGCUAUAGCUGUUUUGUUGUCAGGCCUUAAGAAGAAGUGUCUUCAGUAUUCCCCAUAUAGUGUGAAGAGGGCCUUGGAGAACACAGCAUUAUACCUCGACAAAGUUGAACGUUUUGCCCAGGGACAUGGAUUGUUACAGGUUGAAAAAGCUUUUGAACAUUUGGUGGCAUAUCAUGACCAGCCAGAACGAGAUGUAAGGUUCCAAGUGACCUGUGGAGCCAGCAACAGCAAGGGUAUCCAUUUGCGUGGAGGGUUGCAAAAUAGAGUUAAAAAUCAUGCUAUUAGUGUUGAGCCAUUCUUCACCGAUCCUGACAACACAGAUCCAAGUAAAAAAAUUGGCUUUGGUAUUAAGCUGACCUUAGUUUGUUCAGAACCGUGGGUUGAGUGUCCAUCUCAUCUUGAUUUGAUGAACAUAGCCAGAAUGUUCACAGUUCAAAUUGACCCAACUGGACUUCCACCUGGAGUACAUACAUCAAGUAUUAAGGCAUAUGAUGUUUCAUGUAUGGAGAAGGGUCCUGUGUUCCAAGUACCCAUCACUGUUAUUCGUCCUACACAGUUGCCUCAUGAUUUGUUUCGGCCAGACCUUCAUUUUACUAAUGUUAUAUUUAAACCGAACACUAUGCAGCGCCACUUCAUCUUGGUACCUGAUGAGGCCACUUGGGCAGUUUUGCGGCUACGUUGUGUCGAGAAGGAUAAAGAUGGACGUUUUAUAUUACACUGCCUGCAACUGCGUCCCAGGAUGGUUUGUAAAACACUUGAAUAUCACAGGGUGUUCAAUGUCAUUUCGCAGAGUGAGGUUAUCAAAGCUUUCCCUGUGCGGGGUGGCCUGGUGUUGGAAGUGGUUGUGGCUAAAUACUGGGCAGACCUUGGAGAGGUGACACUAGACUACUCAAUAGCAUUCCAUGGUGUUAAACCAGAAAGCCCCAGUGUAACAAUGCAUGGUGCUGAUGGUAUUUUGUCCUUGGAGCUGCGUAGUGGCUUGAGGAAUGAAGAGAUCUCUCCUGCUGUAACACUCAAGAAUUCAGUCCAAGUUCUCAGGCCUAUAGAAUCGAAGGUCAGACCCUUGUCAGCACGAGACAUUAUUCCGCCAUCUAGGCAGAUAUAUGAACUGCAGCUCACAUAUAGCUUCUCUAUAACAAAAGCCACUGAGAUCACACCCAACAGCCCAGUACUUAGUGACAUGCUAUAUGAAUCAGAAUUUGAGUCACAGCUCUGGAUGCUGUUUGACCGCAACAAACAGCUGCUUGCAGCAGGAGAUGCUUAUCCUAGUAAAUACAUGGUGAAAGUUGAGAAAGGAGACUAUGUCUUGAAGCUCCAUGUCCGUCAUGAGAGAAAGGAUCUGCUAGACAAGAUGCUAGACCAGCCCCUGCUUCUAAGUCAUAAAUUGCCUGCUGCACUUUCUCUGGAUGUAUAUGGCAGCCAGACACAGGCAACAACAUGUGGCAAGAAACUGGAACGGGCAACCAUUCUCCAGGGUCAGAUUAUGCCUAUCUACAUAACACCACUUGCAGAUGAUGCAUCUGGUAAAGGAACAACAUUGGGGCAUUUCUUAACUGGAACAAUAACUUAUUCCAAGGAUGAGAUUGGGAAAAAAGUGGAUGUGUAUCCAUUCAAAUAUGUGUUGCCUGAAUCUCCCAAGAAGACUUCUAAGUCAUCAGAUAUGAAAGAUAAGGAGAAGACAAAAUGGGAAGAAUACAAUGAAGUAAUCAGGGACCUGAAAAUUAGUUGGCUUGCCAAGCUCGAACCAGAUGAGCAGGCUGUUGCCCUGUAUGAAGAACUGAAGAGAUUGCACCCUGAUCACAUCGUAGUACAUGUCGCCAUGCUUCAGUGUUUGGAGCCAAAUGAGCCAAAGAAACGGCUCCCCUUCACGGAAAAUGUGGAUGUAUCUGACAAUUCGGUCAUUGCCAUGGCCAAUCGGAUCAUUGACUUAGCAGAUACAAUCAUAAGCAAAGUUGAUCAGACUCAUGUGCUUGCUUAUUUUGGUACAAAGGUUGAUUAUGAACCUGAUGCAUCCAAGACUAAAACGGUAAUGGAACAGCAGAAGGUAGCACUUGUGGAAGCAUUAUCCAGGAAGGGUUCAGCUAUGUGUCGUAUUUAUACCGUUACCAAUGCAACACACAGUAAGGGAGAAGAUGGUAAUGCACAGGAACAGCUUUGUACUUCAACUGCCUCUACAGUUUCCCUUGACAGUAUUGAUAAAGUGUGGAGAGAUGUGCUCAGAAUCACAGAUACAAAUGACGCUAAGGUGUCAUACUUCUUGCUGUGGCAUUCCAUUGUGCACAAACACUGGGGGCGUGCCCUCAAGAUCCUGUUCAAGAUGGGCGAGGACAAACCAUCACGUGAACUAGAUGAGAAGAGCUCUGAGGCUGGUCGCAAGCUAGGCUGGGAGCACUAUAUCCACCACGUUGAAUCCUCACUGCCCGUCAGGUACCCUCCAGUGUACCGACCUUUCUGAUGGCAUGAAAUGUAAAGAUAUGAACUGAAGUGAACCAAGACUGCAGUCAUCUGUUAGAUGGUUACCAACCUGUAGGGGGAACCUGGUGCCUCUGUGUCUGAAGCAGAAGAAACUAAAGUGAAGGUUAGUUAUUGUGACCAAUUCUGUGUGGAUUAUGACUGACUUCCUACCUCCAAGUAUAAGACGGUAUAGCAGUUACAGAUAAACCAUUUGCUGCAAUUUGAGAGAGCAUAAGCUCCAUUUUAACUAAAAUUUAGAUGUACAGUAAACCCUUGACCAAUGUGGAUUUGCUUAUACUUGCCAGAACAAAGGGAACAGUUAUAUGCCAAAUGUGGAAGGUUUGAAUAUGUGCAGUCAUACCCCAGUCAUGACCCUGAAACAUUGCAGAUUAGUCGUCCUAACACUGAGGUAAUACUUACUUUUACCUCCUGCAGUUUAUGGACCAAAGGAUUGUCAAGACAUUUAAAUCUUGUUACACACAAAAUGUCUACUGGCCUUUAAUGCAAGAUAUUGAUUGUGGUGCUGCUGAUAACUUAAAACAGUAUAGGUAGACCAUUCAUUCGAAUGUGUUUAAGAAAGCUUACAUAUCUUGGUAUUAAUGUGAGAGUUCAUGUAACGAUGUUCUUGUAUCCUCCUUUAACCCAUAAUGUAUUAAGUUUGGCCAUCGCAAAUUUACUUAAUGCACCAUUCUUGAGGAACCUAACCGCCACAUUGGAUGAGGGUUCACUCUGUAAUUUAGUGAAUUUUAAAAUUGUGUUCUGCAUACAGUGUUUUUGUGAAUUUUGAUGAAUGAAGACUGGAAGAAUUGUCUGAAUGUCCACUUUCUUGCUCUGAUUUUUUUUUGUGUAUGUAUAGACAUAAUUGAAACAAUACUAUAUUUAUUUUAUGCAGAAGUGGACAUGUUAGAUGUUGGACAUUUGCUUUAUCAUAACCGAGUGAUGCACAAAUAAAAUGGCUAGUCUCGUCUGUAAUAAUGCUUGAUAAGCUUUAUUAAAAUCAGUAAAAAUUAUCGUGUGUUGAAGGAGACCAUGAAUCAGAAAUUUCUUUCAUGGUAUAUUUAUAUGUUUAUCACACCUGCCUUACUUUAAUGCAUAACUUUUAAUGACAAACUGUGAUGUGUGUCUAAGUUUAAAAAGAAUUUAUUUUGAGAAUAUGUAAUUUUAUUAAUCUUUAUUGGCCAUGCAUUCUAUUGUAAUGGCAUGUGUGUGCAGUGCAGCUGAGCAUGACAUUUCUUCAUUAUUAAUACAGUUAUUUCUGGGUUAAAAUCUAACGGCUACUCUCAUCCAGAACUGGGAGAUUUAAAAAUCUUCUAUCCCCAGACAAUAAACAUUAAGAACUUAAGAAAUUUUCAUUCUCGAAUUUAAGACUGGUGUGCUGCAUACAGCAGGACAAUAUCUUUGCACAUUUUAUAAUCCCAAAUAAAAUUCAUAAAUGUAAACUCCUUCAAAGCAUGAUUUAUUUUUCUGAUUUAGAACUGCCAGGCAGGGAUUUUUGCAGAACUUUAUAAAAGAAUCAUACCUACCUUGGAGUCAGGAUAGCUCAGGCAGUACAGCAACAGGCUGCAGGCUAGACAUCCCAGGCUCGACUCCCAGCAGUGCAAGAUUUUUCUUUUCUCCACAGUGUCCAGACCAACUUUGGGGCCCACCCAGCCACCUAUCCAGUGGGU